UAAUACAUGCAAGUCGAACGGUCUUUCUAUGGAAGCUGCUUACCACUGAGAAGAUAGUGGGCGAACGGGUGGAGUAACGACCGUGGGGUAACCUGCCCAUAAGAGGGGGGAUAACAUCCGGAAACGGGUGCUAAUACCGCAUAGUUUUCUUGAUCGCAUGAUCGGAAAGGAAAGACGGCCUUUGUGCUGUCGCUUAUGGAUGGACCCGCGGCGUAUUAGUUAGUUGGUGAGGUAACGGCUCACCAAGACGAUGAUACGUAGCCGACCUGAGAGGGUGAUCGGCCACAUUGGGACUGAGACACGGCCCAAACUCCUACGGGAGGCAGCAGUAGGGAAUCUUCCGCAAUGGACGAAAGUCUGACGGAGCAACGCCGCGUGAGUGAAGAAAAGGUUUUCGGAUCGUAAAACUCUGUUGUCAGAGAAGAACAAGUUGGAGAGUAACUGCUCCAGCCUUGACGGUAUCUGACCAGAAAGCCACGGCUAACUACGUGCCAGCCGCCGC
rnacentral:rRNA from 1 species